GACAGAGGAGCCAAGCGUUUGUUCGGAAUCAUUGGGCUUAAAGGGCGUGUAGGCGGCGGCGUAAGUGUCGAGUGAAAUCCCAUCGCUCAACGAUGGAACGGCUCGGCAAACUGCGUCGCUUGAGGUCGGUAGAGGUGCCUGGAACUCUAGGUGGAGCGGUGAAAUGCGUAGAUAUCUAGAGGAACGCCAGAGGCGAAAGCGGGGCACUGGGCCGAAUCGUGACGCUGAUACGCGAAAGCGUGGGGAGCAAACAG
rnacentral:rRNA from 1 species